rnacentral:rRNA from 1 species
AGCGAACGCUGGCGGCAGGCCUAAAACAUGCAGGUCGAACGGAUCCUUCGGGAUUAGUGGCGGACGGGUGAGUAACACGUGGGAACGUGCCUUUAGGUUCGGAACAACUCAGGGAAACUUGAGCUAAUACCGAAUGUGCCCUUCGGGGGAAAGAUUUAUCGCCUUUAGAGCGGCCCGCGUCUGAUUAGCUUGUUGGUGAGGUAAAGGCUCACCAAGGCGACGAUCAGUAGCUGGUCUGAGAGGAUGAUCAGCCACACUGGGACUGAGACACGGCCCAGACUCCUACGGGAGGCAGCAGUUAGGAAUCUUGCGCAAUGGGGGAAACCCUGACGCAGCCAUGCCGCGUGAAUGAUGAAGGUCUUAGGAUUGUAAAAUUCUUUCAGCGGGGACGAUAAUGACGGUACCCGCAGAAGAAGCCCCGGCUAACUUCGUG